CCCGACUGCAGCAGCCAGCAUUGCUGACGACAUCUCCGUCACGACGUCCGCCGACAAGUCUUGGCCCAGCAUAAACCUGGACUCGCUCCGAGUCUAUCCCACAGGACUCCGUCACAUCCUGAGACGAGCUAAAGACCGUUAUGGCAACAUUCCAAUAUACGUCACUGGGAACGGCGUGUCCGACGACCCGGGCACCACCGACGACAAGCUCAGGGCAUCAUACAUCGUGGACUACACCAAUGAAGUUCUGAAAGCUAUAACCUUAGACAACGUGGACGUCCGAGGCUACGUCGUUUACAGCCUCGUCGACGGCUUUGAAAGAAGA